AAGAAGCAGAAUCCUCGAGGCCCCCUUCCACUCCGCUCUCUCAAGAUAACAUGGCAACAGCAAGGGUCAAACUAAACGUACCCCAAGGAGUGAAUCUUGAGGACCCCAAAGUGAGCGAAGCCAUUUUAGAGCAGAUCCGGGAGCACCUCUCCAAGAACUUUCCAAUGGACGGUGUUAAUCUGCGCUGGAGAAAACAAGACGGGGAGAUAUUCCACAUGGAGGAAGAGGAGGAGGAGGAGGAGAAGAAGAAGUACUUCGAGCCGUGAGAUACCAGCACCCACAAUGACAAGCAGGGGCUUUCAGAGCAGCACUGGCUUAUAUUAAUCUGACAUUAUCUACUGGUUUAUAUUAAUCUGACAUUAUCUACUGGUUUAUAUUAAUCUGACAUUAUCUACUGGUUUAUAUUGCUCUGACAUUAUCUACUGGUUUAUAUUACUCUGACAUUAUCUACUGGUGCAGCACUGGUUUAUAUUAAGGUGAUGGGGUGUGUGUGUGUGUGUUUUAAUUUAAUGAUAAUUUAAAUAUAUGUUCAAUUAUUUACUGGUACAGCACAUAUUUAUAGUAAGGUGGUGGUGUGUGUGUUUUAAUUUAAUGAUAAUUUAAAUAUAUAUUCAAUUAUUUACUGGUGCAGCACAUAUUUAUAUUAAGGUGAGGUGGGUGUGUGUUUUAAUUUAAUGAUAAUUUAAAUAUAUGUUUAAUUAUUACUGGUGCAGCACAUAUUUAUAUUAAGGUGAGGUGUGUGUUUUAAUUUAAUGAUAAUUUAAAUAUAUAUUCAAUUAUUUACUGGUGCAGCACAUAUUUAUAUUAAGGUGAGGUGUGUGUGUGUUUUAAUGUAGUAAAUGAUUCUAAUAGAGGUUACAUUAGUUACUGGUGCAAGUUUCUUUCACCUUGUAAAGAAUAUAUUCAGAGUGCUAACAGAGUAACAGGCCUCUUCCCCAUGGCAUGGCAGAGCAUGGAUUUACAGAAUGAAUGUACAACUUGCAGUGUACUAUUAAAUCCCAUAGAGGGCACCACAAACACAUUUACUGAGGGAGGAAGGGAGCAAGCUCCUGUAUAAUUAUACAAUCACCUGGAAGGUCUUGAUGCUGCAGUACAUUACAAACAGGAGCCAGGAUACAGGUGUUGAAUUGCUUAUCAGGAGGACAGGGCUAAGGUAGAUGGCAGAUGAAGGACAGUUCUCUUUUUCACAUGAUCCUCCAGUGCAAUGACAUGGGCAGCUCUAGCCUGGGUCACCCUGAGCCUCUGUCUGGGUAAGUGAGACGAGUUGUCCUAGUGCAGCUCAACAAGCUGGUGUCUUCCAGUCCAGGUCUGCGUUCCAACCAUGGCUGCGUUUCUACCUGGAGGAAAAGCCCUCCAGGACUGGAGCCUGUCACAAUGCAAGUGAAGCUGCAGCAUACACUAGCACUGUGGCGCCCCCUAUGGUCUUUAAAUCGGUCUGCAUUAUCACACAGAAAUAUAUGUGCAGUCUGCAGGGUGCAAUGCAACAUGGGGUUCAGUCAUUAAGGCUAUGAGUAGGGUGGUUUGCCACAGCUUAUGAUUUCAAUGGAAAUGUCUUAUUUUUUUCUGAUAUAUAAUUUACAUUACUGUAAAAACAAAGAAUAACAGGGUCACUGAAAAAUACUUUUUAUUUCCCAUUAUAGUGUAUGGGGAGCAGAGGGGAGGGGGGCAAAUCCAUACAUUCAUGAAACAUGUUCAUCUCAUGCAAACACAUAGAAAUCACACGAGCUGUACCAAAGAAAAUAUGUGAUUCAUGUCAUUGUAUUGUAUGAAGGGAUGUGCAUGACAAUGAUACUCUACUACUCUGUAUUUCUGAAUGUAUUUUUGCUGAUUUAUUUCAAUAAAGU